CCGCAAUUCCUGUCGAUCUAGAUAGGUAUUAGUCUCUAAGCUUCAACUUUCAAUAACUGAUGGUCCGGUGGCGAAAUGGCAUCG